UAAACGAUGAGUGCUAAGUGUGGAGGGUUUCCGCCUUCAGUGCUGCAGCAAACGCAUUAAGCACUCCGCUGGGGAGUACGACCGCAAGGUUGAAACUCAAAGGAAUUGACGGGGGCCCGCACAAGCGGUGGAGCAUGUGGUUUAAUUCGAAGCAACGCGAAGAACCUUACCAGGUCUUGACAUCCUUUGACCACUCUAGAGAUAGAGCUUUCCCUUCGGGGACAAAGUGACAGGUGGUGCAUGGUUGUCGUCAGCUCGUGUCGUGAGAUGUUGGGUUAAGUCCCGCAACGAGCGCAACCCUUAUUGUUGGUUGCCAUCAUUUAGUUGGGCACUCUAGCGAGACUGCCGGUGACAAACCGGAGGAAGGCGGGGAUGACGUCAAAUCAUCAUGCCCCUUAUGACCUGGGCUACACACGUGCUACAAUGGGAAGUACAACGAGUCGCUAGGCCGCGAGGUCAUGCAAAUCUCUUAAAGCUUCUCUCAGUUCGGAUUGUAGGCUGCAACUCGCCUACAUGAAGCCGGAAUCGCUAGUAAUCGCGGAUCAGCACGCCGCGGUGAAUACGUUCCCGGGCCUUGUACACACCGCCCGUCACACCACGAAAGUUUGUAACACCCGAAGUCGGUGAGGUAACCUUUUGGAGCCAGCCGCCUAAGGUGGGAUAGAUGAUUGGGGUGAAGUCGUAACAAGGUAACCA
rnacentral:rRNA from 1 species